GACGAACGCUGGCGGCGUGCUUAACACAUGCAAGUCGAACGGAAAGGCCCUGCUUUUGUGGGGUGCUCGAGUGGCGAACGGGUGAGUAACACGUGAGUAACCUGCCCUUGACUUUGGGAUAACUUCAGGAAACUGGGGCUAAUACCGGAUAGGAGCUCCUGCUGCAUGGUGGGGGUUGGAAAGUUUCGGCGGUUGGGGAUGGACUCGCGGCUUAUCAGCUUGUUGGUGGGGUAGUGGCUUACCAAGGCUUUGACGGGUAGCCGGCCUGAGAGGGUGACCGGCCACAUUGGGAAUGAGAAAGGGCGGAGGCUGCGACGGGAGGCAGAAGUGGGGAAUAUGGCGGAAGGGGCGGAAGCGUGAUGCAGAAGAGGGGCGUGGGGGAGGAAGGGCUUCGGGUUGGGGACGGAGUUCGCCAGUGACGAAGCGUGAGUGACGGUAAUGGGUAAAGAAGCACCGGCUAACUACGUG
rnacentral:rRNA from 1 species